UUCUUCGCUCAGUGGCAGUAUCGUAGCCAAUGAGGUCUAUCCGAGGAGCGACUAUUGAUAAUUGAAAACUUUUCCCAAUUCUGUGAUCUAGAUUUACAAAUUUUCCUCUUCAAAUUCUUGCCUUCUGUUAUUUAGG